rnacentral:pre_miRNA from 1 species
AUUAUACUCCCUCCGUCCAAAAAAACUUGUCAUCAAAAUAGACAAAAAGGAAUGUAUCUAGAAUUAAAAUACAUCUAGAUACAUCCCCUUUUAUUCAUUUUGAUGACAAGUAUUUUCGGACGGAGGGAGUACGUA